rnacentral:rRNA from 1 species
UACGUAGGGUGCGAGCGUUGUCCGGAAUUAUUGGGCGUAAAGGGCUCGUAGGCGGUUUGUCACGUCGGGAGUGAAAACUCGGGGCUUAACCCCGAGCCUGCUUCCGAUACGGGCAGACUAGAGGUAUGCAGGGGAGAACGGAAUUCCUGGUGUAGCGGUGAAAUGCGCAGAUAUCAGGAGGAACACCGGUGGCGAAGGCGGUUCUCUGGGCAUUACCUGACGCUGGGGAGCGAAAGUGUGGGGAGCGAACAGG